AUCUAUCUAUCUAUCUAUCAUCUACCUAUCUAUCUAUUUAUCUAUAUUUGUAUCUAUCUACCAAUUGAUCUAUCUAUAUAUCUGUCUUUCUAUCUAUCUGUCCAUCUACCGAUCUAUCUAUUUAUAUAUCUAUCUAUUUAUCUAUCCAUCUACCUAUCUAUCUAUCUAUCCAUCUAUCUACCAAUCUAUCCAUCUAUCUUUUUUUCUAUCCAUCUAUCUACCAAUCUAUCAUUUAUCUUUUUUUCUAUCCAUCUACCUAUCUGUCUAUCUAUCUAUUUUAUAUUUCUCCACUCAGGCUAAAUAAAUGGUCCUGUAUUCUGAGUAAAUGUAAUUAUGUAUUCUACUGGUGGCAAGGGGCCCUGAUGUCAUCGAUGGGCAGCGAGUAAAGUCUGGAGCAGCGAGUAAAGUCUGGAGCAGCGAGUAAAGAGCAGCGAGUAAAGUCUGGUGCAGCGAGUAAAGUCUGGAGCAGCGAGUAAAGUC
ensembl:lncRNA